rnacentral:lncRNA from 1 species
ACUGACAAUGAUCUCACCACUCUCAGAAGCAUAAGAAUGAGCCAUGGAUUCACAGUGGUGUAGCCUGAGGAGGUGAUUUGAGGGAAGACAGCAGAAAUCUCAUCACUGACCCAUGGGGUGAAGGAAAUACCCAGUGUGACUCGAUGGAGCCCAAAGACUUUUCUCCCCAGCUCUUCUCCCUCCCCCUCAGCAAUUUCAAGGUCCAGGACCCUGGCCAGCAUGAGAGGAGAGUGUGGAAACUAAGACAUAAAUCAAACUUACAUCAGGAAUACAGUCACCUAUCACCAGGACCUCAGGAUGCCUGGUCAUCCCUCCAAGAACCAUGAGCACUGUUAGAGAAAAGUCACAAAAACAAUUCAACAUUAUUCCAAUUCUUGCUUGCCAUCCUGCAUUUCUUGGCCUGGAGAUUCCCUUACCCUCAAAGUCAAUGCUUCUGGAGUAAGCAGAGCAGUACGAAAUGGCUAAGGGCCCCUCUUGGAGGCUGGACCUAUAUCACAUUGGAAUUUUAACAAUAUCAAAAUACUACCUAUUAGAUUAUACAACAA